AGUCUUGAAAGGAAAUAGUAGGGUUCCUUGUAAAAUUCUCAUCAAAAGCCAUACCCUGGUUAUAAUUUUCAGUCUAGCUAGAGUCCUUCUCUCUCUUUGGCCAUGUCUGCACCCAAUCCAGUGGGUAGUAACUGAUCUAUCGGGGAUCAAUUUAUUGCAUCUACAUGAGAUGCGAUAACUUAAUCCCUAGAUGAGACACGAUAAAUCGAUCCCCGAAUUGAUGCCUGUAUUCCACCUUGGCAAGAGGAGUAAGCGGAGUCAACGGGGGAGCCAUGGCGGUUGACUUGCCGCUGUGAGGACAGCCAGGUAUCAGACUGACAGCCUUGAAGACUGAUGUCAUCUGUGCACAGAAAGGGAACAGAAUUAGCAGCACCAGUGAAAGCUCCACCCACGCUGCCCUACAAAGAUGCCUCAAGCCUGCCUUAGAAAAAUCACCGCGUGCAAAUGUUUCUAUGCUCUCCCAUCAUCUCCAUCCCAGAGGUUAUCG